GGGACCUGCCCUUGGGGGCUGGAUCUUCUCUGUCCCUUCUGGUUACUACUGUCUCUGCUUCUUAUGCGCCAUGAAGUGAGCAGCCUCUGUCACAUGCUCCCACCGCCAUUACCUUCUGUACUAUCAUGGACUCACGAGCAGAGCCAUGGACCACAGACCAAAACCUCAGAAGCAAGGAGCCCAAGUCAAGCACUCUUCUAAGUUGCACAUGUCAGGUGUUAUGUCACAGCGAUGGAAGUCUGACUGACACACUCUCCAGUUGUCUGGGGAGGUAGACACUAUCAUCACUUCAUCUUUGCAGAAAGGCCUUUGCACAUACACUUUCUCUGCGGAAACAACUCUGACUUUGACAGGCUUAGAAAGACUUAGCCAAAGGACAUGGGAACUACAACUAUUGUCAUCGAUUUCUUCAUAAAAACAUCUGAUUCUUGUUCAGACAUCUACUUUCUCUCCCUAAUAGAAGUCUCCAUUUGAUAAAGCUGACCUCCCUGCUAGCUCUAGGAAUGGUUUUGUCUGGCAUAAGCCAGGCGGCACAUUUCAAUUCAAUGGCCAUGGAGAUUUAUUUCGUUUAGGGUUGUAUCUGACCUAAGGUAAUCUGAUAAAAAGUGAAUCUCAGGAUUGCUACUUGGUUGGACACACGCACUUCCAGGCAGUGUUUACUGUCUUCCCAGUACAUGCUGCAACUACUUCCUGACACAGUUCAUAACAGAGCGUUGACGCUUCCUACACACUAUGCGCCAUCUCUACAUCCAUAACUUUUUUCCCCUAGGACUAAGAUACUAACCAAUGUCACUGUAACAUUAUAGAACAAUGUUCCUUAGAAAGGUUGUGCCAUCUGGUAAAACCUGAAAACUGACACCACUUAACAAACGUAUUAAAGCAGAAACGACUCACCUCGAUGGAAAGUCACUGGCAGAGGACGGCAAAGAGCUAUAAAAAGAAAGCCAUACAACAACAUGAAGAAGUUUAUUACCAUAUGCGGACCUCUUCUUGGGCAAAACUUCUAUACCCUUUUGAUAAGAUGGUGAACUAAAAUAACAAUAAAAUGGCAGCCUUAUAAAAUCCUAAGUCCUAUCUUUCCACUAAGCUCCGACUUUUAUAUAAAAUAUAGCUAUCUACACCAAACAAGAUGGCAUGAACUGCAAAGACA